AUUGAACGCUGGCGGCAGGCUUAACACAUGCAAGUCGAGCGGUAGCACAGGGGAGCUUGCUCCCUGGGUGACGAGCGGCGGACGGGUGAGUCAUGUCUGGGAAACUGCCUGCUGGAGGGGGAUAACUACUGGAAACGGUAGCUACUACCGCAUAACGUCUCAAGCCCAAAGAGGGGGACCUUCUGGCCUCUUGCCAUCAGAUGUGCCCAGAUGGGAUUAGCUAGUAGGUGGGGUAAUGGCUCACCUAGGCGACGAUCCCUAGCUGGUCUGAGAGGAUGACAAGCCACACUGGAAGGGAGACACGGUCCAGACGCCUGAGGGAGGCAGCAGUGGGGAAUAUGGGACAAUGGGCGGAAGCCUGAUGCAGCCAGGCCGCGUGUGUGAAGAAGGCCUUCGGGUUGUAAAGCACUUUCAGCGAGGAGGAAGGUGGUGAGCUUAAUACGUUCAUCAAUUGACGUUACUCGCAGAAGAAGCACCGGCUAACUCCGUG
rnacentral:rRNA from 1 species